UACGUAGGAGACAAGCGUUGUCCGGAAUUACUGGGUGUAAAGCGCGUGUAGGCGGUAGGCCAAGUCUGCUGUGAAAUCGCCCGGCUCAACUGGGCGCGGUCGGUGGAAACUGGUCAACUGGAGGACGGUAGAGGCGAGUGGAAUUCCCGGUGUAGUGGUGAAAUGCGUAGGAGAUCGGGAGGAACACCAGUGGCGAAGGCGGCUCGCUGGGCCGGGUCCUGACGCUGAGACGCGAAGGCGUGGGGAGCGAACGGG
rnacentral:rRNA from 1 species